GCAGAAGUAACAUUCCUUUGAACACUCAGCUUUCUGAAAUGGUGUCCCACCGCAAGGACUGGAGAAGGGUAAACCUCAGGUUCUCCUCCUGCCUUUUGCUAAGUAUAUGUCUUGAUGACAAGCCUUCUGCUGAUGAGCUGUGUUUCUGGACCGAUCAUGGUAGAAGUCAAUUAACGUGUCCCUCACUUGGGGUUUCUCAAGGCUGCACUGAUGAGGAAACUGAAACAGAAAAUCCAGAGUAAAUUCCACCAGGCCACACAGCAAGGUCUGAUAGAGCCAGGAGAGACUUUAUGAAAUCCAGACUCUCACACUAAUGCUCUAUCAGCUAGACCUCCAUGUGAGUCUCCCCAAUGUAGGUAGGAAGUGCUUUCCCUAAAAUGCUCAUAAAGCAAAUCAGAGCAAUGCUGCAUUCCAUGUGAUUUCUAAUUUGAAAUGCAAACAAUUGCCAAUUUGUUUGACUUGUAUUUAUAAUUAUUUCCUUGUGAAUUACUCAUCACUAAAUGCUUUAUAAAUAUUUUCUCUUUUUUUCCUCAAUGUCUAUGGAAUGAUCACAGCAUAGAAAAUGUUGGCUUUCAAGGAUUUAUUAAUAUCUCCUUUUGAAAUAACAUGUAUUUGUAAGACAGAAUAAAAUCACUUUAAAGAAACAAAUCUUGAAUUUGAUUUCCCGUUCAGACAAUGACUUAUUUGAUGUCCUUAAUAAGAUGAACUACAUAGUGACUUUUAUUUAAAGGAUCCAUUAUAUAAGAAGUAGAAAAGUAAAUAUGCACACUUAGAUGAGCACGGCCUUGCCAACAGCUCCUUCUGAUAGAUUUUUAGACUUUACUAAGUUUGUGUAAGCCGAAGGCAUCACACUGUAUGCAUUACUGAAUCUAAUUUCACUUUUGCCAAUAACAAAAAAAAACAAGCUAGUGGCAUAAUAUGGCAGUAUGCAUCAUAUGCUUACCAUAAUCUCAAAAUUUAACUCUUUGUAAAGAACUGAGCCAAUUAUUUCUGUCUUUUUGAGCAUGAAACCUAAUUUAAAGCAUUUUUCUAGAUGAUAAAAUAAAUACUCCUUUACUCAGAAACUUAACAAAUCCAGAAUAGAAUACAGAACUCAGUAGCUAGAUUCAGAAUAUUGUUCAUACUAUUUGCUUGGAAUCACAUCAAUAUCACGUGAUUUUCAAGGAAGAAAAAUAAACAGUAGUUCCCCGCUUUUUUGGUCCUGGUUGCUCCCAACUGGCAAUAGCGUAUGUGUGUUUUAGUCUGUGCUUUGCAAAACUUGAUGUGAAUUCAAACCAGCACAAAUAUUAAAAAGUGCAAUUUCCACUUUUGAAAACAAAAUUUAGAAAUUGUUAAAUAUUAGCAAUUUGUUUAAGCAAGGGAGGAAAAGGAACCAUUAGAAGAAAUUCAGAGGCAUUAAAAGGGUCACAAGGAUUGACUUAUGAGAUCAAACAAACAAAAAAAAACACACAAUGCUAGAUCUGUUGCUGGACAAAACCAUGGUAAGCCAAAGCUCUAAUAGUGAUAUAUACAGUCUGGGGAAAGCAACUUCACAUUUUGGUGUAAUUGAGGGAGGAAAAUGACCCAGUUCUACUUGCUAAUAAUAAGUAUCAUUAGGUAAAGGAUAUAGUAAUUGAAAGGCAACUCCUCAGAUUUAAAUAUUAUUUAAAGUAUCUUUAAGCAAGUAGAUAAGUAUAGCAACAAUCAAAAAUGCUUAUUCAACUCAAUUCCUACUUUCCCUUCCCAAAUCUUAAAAUUGAUAAAAAACAAACACACAAACAAAAACAAAACAAAACAAAACAAAAACAAAAACCAGAGAAAGAGAGAGCUAGUUGGAUACCAAUGUCUGAACUCCAUACCCCAACAGGGACCUCGUUUUGUAUGACUGCCACAGAAACGAGCACAGAGAGGGGCAAGAUAAUGUAAGGAACAGGGUAGGGGAGGAAAAAAUGGCCGUUUUAAAAGGAAUGACAAGGUUGGGUGAAACAUAAAAAGCCACUCCAUAGCCAAGAGAGAUUAAAAAGAGCUCAAGAGGGUCAUGUUGCUUCCCAUUUCCCCUUACCUGAUUCUUGCUGCCACUCCAUUGGUUAAGUUUUACAGGUUGCAGUAACUGGCAAGGAAGAGGUGUGCCUCUCAGCUGUUCACAAUGCAGAAUCUUGAAAAGGUCAACAUAGUAGCAGUAUGACAGGCCAUGUAAGUCAUUAUGUGCUUUAUAAUUCAUUUGUAAGUAGAAUGAGAACUGGAGCAAAUUAAAUGUAAACUCUGCCAUAGGACCUCUAAAAACAUGUUAGUCAUAUGGAAAGCUAGGUUUUGUUUUCUAUCUAGAAAGACAAACAAAUAUUUCUUCACAAAUGUGUUACUUUCCUGAGGAGAGCAGAAAUGGGAGAUAAAUCCAUUUGCUGCAAAGUGGUUUAAAGAAAAUAUAUUGGCAGCAGGAGGAAGGUGGUUUAGGGAGAUGAUAUGUAAUAGAAUACAUAUACAAGUACUAUGAGCGUUGAGAUUCAGGUUAGUGCUAAUUAGACAUUUCCUGAUCAGUGAAAAUCGUAAGACUUUCAAAGUCCUGUAUUUUAAGAAAUAGUAAAAUCUAUCAGGUAAGAUAAUAUAUUUAUGACUUACCGCAGUAUUUUUGUGAUGGUUCUGUUCUUUGUGAAGCCUUAUUUUGCAUUGAAAUUGGCACAAUUUUACACCGUUAACCAAAUUUUCUUUUAAUGGAAACUCACACACACAUAGCACAUUCUUUAGUACUAAGAUGCUAAAGUUGCUGAACAUGCUACAGGUGAUUAUGAGGCAGUAGUGAAAGAGUUAAUUAUCCAUCAUUCCUCCCCCCUACCCUAGACAUCCCACUGUGCCUCUGUUAUAGACUUAGGCACAGUUCCUAAUGGCAAAAUCUAUUAGAAUGCACAAUAUUCUCCCAAGGGAGCUGGUGGAAGUUCUGUCACUUGAGACAUUUAAAACUACACUGGGUAAAGCACUAGAGAGCUGUGAGUGCAUGUGUUCCAACCCUCAGGACAGAAAUCAUGACCUAAUGGGUGAUUUCUAUCCCUUAAUGUCUCUGAUUCGCUGGGUGUUUUAAUAGCUCCCUCAUAUUUAAGUAGAUGACCAACGGUCUAUUUUUUUUUAAUGGAACUUGAGUUUGGUCUGUAAAGUGUCAAGACAGAGGUGACAAAACAAACCACAGGGGAAUGGAGGAAGCCUCGUGGAAAUUUAGUUGGUUUGAAGGAGGGUUGAGCAAACACAACAGUGUAUUCGGGUUUAGCAAAUGCCUUGACUUCUUUUUUUUUUUUUUUCAAAUGUUUUCAGUUCAAGGAAACCCAAAACACAUUUGGCUAAACAGUUUUUCCUUAAUUUUCAAACCCAUGUGUAUUUCAAGGGAAAUUUAAUCCAUGUGUUUCUGAUUCAUUUACACUUAGCUCAUCAAAAUGUGGUUUCAUAAGACCCAUUUGAUGUCUAAGAAGCCUUGUGAGCUUUUUUUUUUACAAGCUUUUUUUCUUUGAACCAGGAAGUUACAUUUUGCCAAGAGUCAAUGGAACUUCAACCAGAAAAGAAUCAGUUUUGUUUGGGAUCUUGGAAUCCUCAAAGUUGGUGGGAGCUAAUGAGCCGGGAGGGGAGGGGAGGAGAAGCUGAUUCAGAGAGCAGGAACCUUCCCAUUUCUAAUAUGUUAUCUGUUCAGAUAACUUGAAAAUCUAAUUUUCUCUCAGUUUAUAGUAGAAAAUUCAUCUUCAAUUUUUGAAAAUCUUGUGGAAAACAUGAGCAUGAAUUUUAUUACAGGGUCCAAUGCUGUCACAUGAUCUGAUAAUCAUCCACUAGUGAGUCUGUGGGUGAUGAGUAUCAGAGCAGUAAUGACAUACUUAUCUUAGAGGCAAUUAUUAAGAAGUGACUCACAAAAGUGUUUAGAUUGGCCAUUUUUUUAAUAUUUAAAAAAGCUUCCUCUGCCUGGUUGUUGUCGCUCUGUGCACAACACUACUGGUUAUUUAAGAAACAAGACAAAUAAGACUCAGUGAAUGUGCUGAUUCAGGUGCACACAAUCCCCUAUCUCAUUGCUGGUGUUGCUAAAGAGCAUCUGGGGUAAGGAAACAUGCAUCCGGUCCAUCCGUCAAGAGUCCAUGAGAAAGCCAACAAUGUUUGCACCUGCAGGAUGAAUUACAUCUUUGGUGAGUGUGGGAAGCUACAUAAUGAGACAGCUGAGUGGCUGACAUUUCUUUUUUCUUGCUCCUUCUGCACCUUCUUUUUGCACUACCUUCAUUUUUCCCACUUCCUCUCCCUUUUCCCCACCUUUAUACAAUCACCACCAAUAAUGGAGCAAAUGUGGCACAUCCAUCCAAGGAUGGGUUGACAUGGUUUACACAUUGCUUUCAUUUGGUUGUUCUUUGGAUGAAUUCUUCCUUGAGAACAAGAUAAUGAAAACCAUACGGUCAUUGAGCACACAAUCUGCCUUCACUUUGGCUGUUCCCUCGCAGCCCGUUUCAUUUUAUAAAGCCUGGUCCCUGAGUUUACGCCAGUAGAAGAUCCCAAGCAGGUGGAAUCCUGCCCCCUAUGGGCUUGCAGAAUUCAGCAAACACUGUCAGUUUAGCUCUUGCCUGUCACCCAUACAUCAGAGAACUUAUUUGAAUGGAACAUCUCUUGCUAGUCUGGUAAAGGUUUAGAAACUUGGCCUUCUAAGUAUUCAUGUAAGUUCUGUUCUGGGACCUUCAUUGUAGGAACUGAAAAUGAAAGAACCAAAAUAGAUAUCAACAGAUAAUUAAAGGAACGUUUGGAAGUUUUUUACCUCAUGCAAACCUCAAACUCUGAACCACUACUGCCUAAAGGAAAUAAAUACUGUGUUAUGGUGAGUGAAGGUAAAGGUGUACUUUAUUUCUUGGAUGAGUUUUGACAGUGUAAAACAAAAUGAUAAGUUUUUAACUAUGGCAGAAAGUUCAGACAACAGGUGUGAGGGAAAAGAAUUAUUCAUUGAUUCAAAGUCCCAUACAAGUGAGUGAAAUGGCUAAAAGCAAUAAAAUUACAGAUGACGUCUUUGGAAUUUAAACAAAAGAAGUUUAUUUUCACUUUCUAAUUUGUAGCUUGCUUUUAUAGACACCAAAGAAACAUCACAGAAAUAUUAAAUUAUUCUCUGAAAAUACAAAGAUAAAAACUAUUGAGGUUUAAGAUAGAAGAUAUUUUCUCUUAAAAUUGGCUAUGAUACUUCUACACUGAUAGAACUUAUGAAAAUAGCCAAUCUAUUAUGACUAAUUUAAUUUUCUUUCCCAAAGAUACAUAAUUCAGAAUAAAAACCGUAAUCAAUGCCCAAAACACAAAUCUCAUACAUCUUGCUAAUGCUGGAGAAAUAGUGUCAAGUUCUUUUUCAGUACAAAUAUAUGCAGUACUUUUACUAUGUUUUGUUUUUAAUUCUCAGAAAUCCUUAUUAUUAAUCAAGCAAAACAAGCUUUUUAUAAUAUAGAAUUAUCCUUCCGCUGUAAGAGUAGAAGCAAAGUAAUUCAAAGUAAAAUAUGAAAAGUGCUAUAAUUUAGUAAGAGAUGGAAAGAAAUUUAGAAUAAUUUUGUUCAAACUCAUAAUUUUAUGAUUGAAGAAACAAAAAUCCAGAGUGUUUAGGAGUUUGUUCAAAGUUCAAAACCUGGAAUCUCUAAGGUUGGAUAUCAGAAGUCAGCUCUAAAUACAAGUUCAGUGCUAUUUUAACAAUCAAUAAAAUUUCUAAGAGCAAUAUAUUCCUGAGAUGGAACACAUCAGAAAAGACUAUAGGGAUUCUUUGAAUUUGGAAAGUUCUUACUAGGUAGAAAUUCCAAUAAAUACAACAGAUUAAAAUGGAACUCAUUCACUGAGGUGGAGUUGGAAACCCUAGGGUCUCAUUUGUUAGCUCCUCUCACCCACUCCUUCUGAGGGCCCUCUGAAUACCUUGUAAAAACUCCAAGAGUUUCUUAGGACACUGUCUUAAAACCACCAAUAAUAUUCCCAGUUGUGGUGAGUAGACUCAAAAGUGACCCCAAUGACCCUACAAAGUACCACAGACUGGGUGGCUGAAACAACAGACAUUUAUUUUCUCAUGAGUCUGGAGGUUAGAAGUUUGAGAUCAAGGUGUCAGCAGAGUUGGCUUCUGAGGCCUCUCUCCUUGGCUUGUUGAUGGCCAUCUUCUCUCUGUGUCUUCACAUGGUCUUCCUUCUGCACUUGUCUGUCUCUUAAUUUCUUCUUGUAAGAACACCCAUCAUUGCAUUAGGGCCUGCCCUAGUGACCCCAUUUUAACUUAAUUAUCUGUUUAAAGACUUUAUGUCUGAGUUUAAUUAAGCUAAUACAACAAAAUACCUUAGACUGGGUAAUUUAUAAACAUCAGAAACUUAUUGCUCAUAAUUCUAGACACUGGGAAGUCCAAAAUGAAGGCACCAGCAGAGUCAGUGUCUGGUGAUGGCUCACUCUGCUUCAAAGAUGAUGCCUUCUCAAGUGUCCUCACAAGGUGAAAGGGUGAGGCAUCUCUCUGGGGUCUCUUUUAUCAGGACAGCAAUCUCAUUCACAACAGCAGAGCCCUCAUGACCUAAUCAUCUCCCAAAGGUCCCACCCCCUAAUAUCAUCACCUUGGUGAGUAGGUUUCAAUAUAUGAAUGUUGUGGGUAUGCAAACAUUCAGAUGAUAGUACCUUAUCUCUAAAUACAGUUACAUUCUGGGGUACAGUGGGCUUUGACAUAUAAAUUUGUGGGUUGUGGGGAAGCGGGCAUUUUUCAGCUCCUAACACUCACCUUUCUAUAUUAUCCCUUUGUAUCAUACCCUCCCCUUGGGUGGGAAAUUUGACUUGAUUCUAAUCUAUAGAAUAUGACAAAAGUGAUAGGAGUCACUUUAUCACUUCAUGAUUAUGUCACAUGAUAAAAUAACCUGUCUUGUUCUAGAGAUUUUCUGUCUCUCUUAUAGACUUUGAAAAAGUGAAGUGGCCAUGUUAGGAGGCCCAGAUGGUAAGGAGCUGAGGGAGGCCUCCAGGAAAUGGCCAGCAAGAAGCCGGCUCCCUCAGCCUUGUAGCUACAAGAAAAUGAAUUCUGCCAGCAAUCUGAGUGAACUUGGAAGCUGAUUCUUCCUCUGUCAAGCCUCCAGAUGAGAAUCUCAGUCACAGCCAACACCUUGACUGCAGUCCUUAGCAGAGGACUCUGCCAAGCUGUGCCAGGACUCCUGACCUGCAGAAAUUGUGAGUACCAACUCACUGAGCUUUUAUGAGGAUGAACCGAAUUAAUAUCUGCAAAGUGCUUAGAAUACAACCUGGCACACAGCAAAUACAUGCCUUUGUUUGGGUCACAGAAUAUCUUGAAUGCAGAGCUCACACAGGUUGUGAUAGGCUUUACUUCUAUCACUAACUGGAAACAAAGAAAAUCUACACUGAAGGAAACCUUUUCAAGUCGAACUUCUGUCAAGCAAUUGGAGGAGCAUGUGGUUUUGUGGUCAUGUGGAUUCGCUAUAUGGAAUAUGAUUGAAGGAUGAUUAUAAUUACAGAAAUUAUAGGUACUAACUUUCCAUAUUUUUGGGCUUUAUACAAAUUUCUGCAAAGUUCCAGAGAUAUGACAGAGCAAGAUAUGGUCCCUGACUCAUGGAUCUUACAUUAGUAUUGGAAAGAAGCCUAUUAAACUCUCCAUCCUAUCAGCUUCAAUUUCAGCUAUUAGCUUUACUUUCUACUGUCUUUUUCAAGUCAAGAUCAAAUGGAGAGCAAAGGGAGUGCACCUUUCCUCUGCAGUUCCAUCACUGUUCAACAUAAUCAUCUCUACCUACAUUUCAGAACAAUUCUGAAUAUUAAUAAGACAAUGUCUAUGAGAUGAGCUCAUCUGGGAAAGCAUAAUAUAAGUGUAAGCCAUUAUAAUUUAUUGCUUCUCAAAUGUUAUAUAAGAUAUUCAACUGGAUAUGUUAUUAAUAAAAAAUUAUAAUAAAGAGAAAUUUAGAAUGAGAAAACAUUUGGAAUUCUUCAUUACUUGAUAUGAAUAGUCUAUAAUCUUUUUAAGUCAUUCUGGCUUUAUGAGGCACUUUGUCUAUUGAGAUAGAUGGAGCAUCUAGAAAGGAAAAACUUUGACAUGCAUUUUGAGGCUCUUUUGAAGCAAAAGAAGAACAGAAAGUCUUUUGAGGUUUUUGGAUGUACUAGAUUGAACCAUAUGUAAUUACUGAGACAAUAUUUUUUGUUCUCCAAAAUGACAUUCCAUAUGAUUCACUGUAGUUUGUACUUUAAAAAUUGUUUCCUUGAUUUGCCUUUUUGUUCAUUGAGAAAAAAUUAUCGAGCCAACCUGAUAUUGUGUCAUAAAGAAUUUGUAUUAGUUGUAAGAAAUAACAACUUACUUUUGUAUUUGUUUUUUUCUUUUUCUAUUUGGUUUAUAGGUAAAGUUAUUUUUAUAAAUUGGUGUGGAUUCCCGAAAUAUAUUAUGAAACUAUCCAUUUCUGAAAGGUGUUAACUUGAAUAUAUCCUUAGUUCAUAGUGUUCAUGGAUUUCAUUCUAAGUUUAUGUCAAAGUGUAGUAUCUGAGAAGACCAAACCAAGGUAAGGAGGUCUGCUUGAGAAGAGAAGCUUCGCUGACCAUCCUGUGAAGUCAGUGACAGAAAGUGCAAAUUUCUUUAAAAUAUUUAUGAAUCUAAGUGCCAUAACUAUGGAAAGUUCACAAUUGAAAUUCUUACCAUAUCUGAAUACAGUGACUAAAAGGAAUAGAUGAUUUCAGGAGAUUUUUCAAAUUAGAUGCUGGGUGUCAGAAUUGAGUGGAUCAGAACUCCAGUUAGCACGCUUAAAUUCCAAUUAUAUAUAUAUUUUAAAACAAGGAUAUCCCUGGAACAUGUAAUAAGUAGUCCAGAAAUUGGUGCAGCUAAUUAGCAAGAGGUUGUGGUCUUCUCUUGAGACCACUGCCAAGAAUGAGGACAUAAUCUUUGAUUCUUCUGAGAUACCUCACAGAGAAGAUAAAUUAAGAGAUAAAAAAGAGUUUUCUAGAAUUUUUAGCUUAUAGUUGAAUAAUAAGGACAUUUUUAUGACAACUGGAACUAAAUUCUCAAAAUUAACUUUUAAAGAAAUUACUUCAUGUUCUUUAUCUUCGUAAUAGCCAUAGGAGAUAAGACCACAUAUCACUAUUUUAUAGAGAGGACAAUCAUGACUGAAAGGAAGAUUUUUCCUGCAAUUGACAGACUGCAAAUAGCAAAUUCAGAUAUUCAUAUUCUGUAUAUAAAUAUCAAACCUGGUGGUUAUUACUGUCUAUCACAUUUUAUUUCUGUAUUUCACAGCAUUUGCUAUAAUGAGUACUUGGACAUCAAAAAUAUUUUCUUAUUCAACCACUAUUCAAAAUCUCAUAAAAAGGAAUAAAAAAUUGUCUGCAUCUUUCUUAAUCUACUACCUCAUAGUAAGAUCACUAUCUUUUCACUGCUUUUCCCUUUACCUAUUUUACAUGAUCAUUAACCUAAGAUUAUCAUACGAACUAAAGCCCUGUGUUGUCACAAUAGAGAAAUCUUUUGCUAUUUUCUGUUUUCCUCUGUCGUUGCUUUUGCCAUUUUACAGCAUUUCGUGUAAGGUGAAAGCCUUCCCUGUCUAUACAGCGUCUUUCAAAUUUUAAUCAAUAUUGUGCACAUUUAGUUCUUGGUACCAUAUUUAAAGAGGAGAGAAUAAGGAUAACCAAAAUUUGUCCUGAAUAAAGUAGGUCAGCUGAUUAGAGGGACAGAAACAGUGUCAUAUAAAAUUUGUCAUUGUAUCCCAUAUAACACAGCACCUAGGAAAACUUAGCACUGGGAAGGAAACAAGAACUUAGCCCCUAUGCUGGAUCUGAGAAGGUCAAUGGUACCUCCUUAAGUUCUGCCUAUUCCCAGGGCCUUGGGUUCUCAUGAUUACCUUUGGAUUGAAUCCAGUCGUGAAAUCUGUCAACUCUCAUUUUCCUACACAUGUCCAUUCCCAUAGUUUAUCUCCAUUGUCUACCAGAUGCUACAAUCUAAGCAUGGAAUUUAGCCCCCUUUGCUGGAUUUUCCUUUAUACAAUCCACAUUGAUCAUUCAUAUAUAAAGAAGCCUUUAUUAAAGGUUUUGGAAGAUGGUGGAGAGAAAUAUAAGUCACAAAAAUGCAAUAUAUAUAUAUAUAUUUAAGUCUUUUGACUCCACACCAACACCACUGACUACAUUUCUUUAUGAACUUUAGAUUCUGACAUUAUUGCCAUCUUCCCCCUCUCAUUUUUCUCCUACUAUUUUCCAUCCCGAAUUUCUCUUCCGACACAGGCAAUAUAACCUCUCUCUUUCUUCUCACAAACCAUGACAUUUGGGUAUCACCUUCUGAAUCAAAGUAAUAUGCAUUCUCCCUCUAAAAGGCACCAUGGUACAAUAACAUGUUUUCAUUGGCUAUUUAAGUUUGGCCUACAAAGUGUGUGUGUGUGCAUGCAUGCAUGCAUGUGUGUGUGUGUGCGUGUGUGUGUGUGUGCACGUGUGUGUGUGUGCAUGCGUGCAUGUGUGCGUGUGUGUGUGUGUGUACAUUUUUAAAUAAAUUAUCAAUCUAUGAGCUAUGGAGAUUUUUAUUAAAAUCUAGAUUUUUAUGAAAUCUCGAUUUUUAACUUCUUUUGAAAAUAGAAGCUCUGGUAACACUAAUCUCCCAUAUUUGUAUGAAGAGUUAAAUUAAGCUGAAUCAUCAUGGCCGCUGUGAGAUGGGGCUGAAGCCCCACCAUUUUCUGUCUUCCAGAAGGAAUCCAUAUUCUCAGUUAUACACUUGGCCUUUAUAGGCUUAUCAAUUUGCAUCUCCUGGUUUAUGACCACUAAGGAAAAGGACACACCUAUAAAAAGUUUGUAAUAUAUGCUAUCAAUAAAUUCUCUAACAAAUAUGGCAAACAUUUUGAAUAGAAGAUAAACGAGAAAAUGAGUGAUGCUAGUUAAAACUUCAGAUACUUCUUAUAUCAAGAACACAAUCUAUACGAUUGAAAGGCAGAAGCAGAAUGAUCUGGGAAGCUUUUAAGAUAUACCAGCUUCUUAAAUUGAACCUGUAGAAAUGCCACAUUUAGAACGUUUUGACUGAAACCUUAGAAUUAGACUUUCAAAAAUGCUCAUCAGCUGAUUCAUUGAUAUGUAGCCCAGAAACAGAGCACAGACCAUAGGCUUAUAGUACCAAAGGUUUCAAGUAUCUAUUAAGCAUUGUCCCUGAUAUCAGUCUUAACUAUGCUGUCUGCUAAGUCCACAGAUUCUUCUAAAUAAAGCUUCCACAUCCAAAUGCCAUACUAAAUAAUGAUUCUGCCCUGUGAUCCACAGGCAGUGGGUCAAUAGAAUGGUAGAAAUCUCACGGUGAUCUGGUGCAAGAUGAUUAACUAGAUCAAUUAGAUUCUUCACUCUGGCAUAAAAAUUAUCAAAUGUGGAGAGAAUGAUGGGAGAGAUUCAGCAGUGGUAAAAGUUGAAAUGUCAUAAGGGAGACACUGGAGAGGCUCUGAUGAGGCCACAUGCAGUUGGAAUUUAUGAGAGAAUGGAAAUUACAAUUAAGUUCAAAAAGCUAUUAGAUGAAGGAGGAAACACACACAUACACACACAUGCACACUAAGCAUCAGGUAAGGAAAUAAAUAGAAGAAUGAUUUGAAGAGCAGACACAAACAUACAAAUAGUUACAGAGUAAUUGGAGGUAGUUGGGAUCCUAGAGAGAAGAUCCAGGAUCCCUAAUGGCUGAGGCUUCUAGUGCUGGUUUUAAUUCAGAACGACACUCAUAUUUCUGGUCUGAGCAUUUGGUUUUUAGCUUUCAUUUGGAUCCUACAUAUAUGUAUCCUUGGAAUAAACGAUAUAGUGUAAGUGUGUCCUUGUUCUUUACAACCGAUUAUCACUAACAUGUGUUCCUUAUCUACACAGAUAAGAAAAUGGUGAAAAUUUUAGGAUAAAUAGCUUAUCAUUCACAUUAGACCCUCAGCAAUUUUAUUAUUUCUUAACACCUAUACAACCUUAUAGCUGAGAAUACUUUCCAGGUGAUGGGUGAAAAUUAGUAAUGCAUUCUUUGUUUUUUGCCUGUGUAAUUAUGCAAUUAAAUUUAGUAAAUUAGUUUUGAGUGGUAAUAAAAUACCUGGCAUUAUGCUAAUAUUUAUUGGAGUUGUCUCACUUUAUUCCAGAGUUCCAUCAUGGGUGAAGGUAUGAAAUGGCAUGGGCGAUGAUGUCCUGAGAAUUCAGUAAAGGAGGGGACAGACUUGGGCUUGGAAUAAGACCCAGGAAUAAGCUUAGUUCAAGGAGAGGAGAAGAUGAGCCAUGGGGUUAGAUUCCUUGUUAGGUAUGUUGCUUGCAAAGACCUUUUGGAAAUAUUCUAAUGGCCCCUUCCCAGCUAGUUUAACCAAAAUGACCAUAUUGAAAUGUCAUGUACUCAAAGUAUUUAAAAAGCCAACAUCCAAGGACAUAUUCAACUAGAGAGGAGAAAUGUCCACUUUUCUCUCAUCACCCCCCUUUUCCUUCACAGCUAAAUUUUAAAAAUCAUGCUUUACAUUUACCACCUCCUUUUUGUACCUGUUGGUCUCUUUGUCCUCUCUCUGCUCCUUAUUCCAGAAAACAGUUCUUAGUAAAGGUAAUAGUAAUCUCACAGUCACUCAAUGCAGUGUACAUUUUUUAGCAUUCCUUUUCCUUGACACUUGUAGUUCUGGAAACAUAUUUUUGCUUUGACUUCAUGACCCAAUCUUUCUGAGAGAUGCUCUCAGUGUGUUUUUCAGAUUCACUCAGCCAUGAAAAUUUGAAGUUCUUCCUGGUUUAGUACCAGACCUCCUUAUCCUUUUUCUUUUUAUCUUCUCCUAUAGUAUCUCUUCCCUGCCUAUGGUUCCACUGACCAUCUCCAUAUACUGAUGCUUCUCAGUAUAUCAGCCUGAUCUCUCCUCUUACACAAAAUGUCACAGUACUUCAAAUUCAACAUUUCUAAUUGCUAAGUCGUGAAUGUUCCUCCACCUCCCCCACUUCAACACACAUUUUUCUCAAACCUGGUAAACUUCAGGAUAUCUCAGUAAGAACUACCAUCCUAUAUUUUGUUGCUCUAGCCAGAAACCUUGGAGUCAUUUACAAUAUCAGCCUUUCCUUUAUUUCUAUACAAAAAUCAUCACCAAGUCCUUUUGAUUCUUCUAAAUAUCUUUUCAUUCCCCCUUUCAUACUACAAGGUUUAAGUGGAAACCAGCAUCACUGUUUGACUGGCAGGGUACUAAAAUUGCCAACUAGUUUGUCCACCACAUCCAAUCUGGUACCUUACCAAUUCCUUCUCAACACUACAGCCAGAAUAAUAUCUUAAAAAUACUAAACUGAUUAGGUGACACCAAGUCACUAAUUAAAAUUCUUCUAUGAUAUGCCAUCAUUCUUAAGAUAAAAUCCAAAUUUUCGAAAACACUGCGUGAUCUCUACAGUGAUAGCUUGCAUUGUCUGUGCUUAUUCUUUGCUCAAGGCUGUUUUGCCUGUCCUUAGUUCCCAUAUCAUUCAGAUUUCCUUAUGCCAUAGGAAAUUUUGUAUGAGCUUCCCUUUUUUUCUUAAAACAUGUCGAAGCUCCUGCCCUUCUCUAAAAAUCCAUGCUUACUCUUUCUUAACAUCUCAGCUGAAGUGUCAUUUACUCUUGGAGGCCUUUCCUGAUCCCAGUUCUACAUCAAUUUUCUCUGUAUAAACACUCACAAAAAGAUGCUCUCUUUUUGGAGACCUUAUCUCCAUUCAAUAUUAUAUAUUAAUAUACUACAAUACAUUUGUAAGACUCUCCUCACUAAAUUUCAACUUCAAAAGAUAAGGAACUGGCUUUUUUUGGUCAACAUUAUUAUCUUAGGUUUGGAAGUAUGCCUUGCACCCAGUAGGGACUCAUUUAAAAUACUAUUGAAUGAAUGCUCAGUGAAUGUAAGUAAUUAUUGAAAGUGUUAUGGUAACAGUAAACAUGGUAACAAGAGUACAGGCAAGAGAAAUAUGAGGAGAGAUUUUCUAACAAUGCCCUUAGUCAGUGCCUUAAACUGUGAGGAACAGUACCUGGCUACAAAUAUAAACCAGCUCAAUCAACAAGGCUGGGGAGAGUUAGCACAUAUAACAGGAUUACAUGGAGUCUAAGACCAGGAAGCAUAUCUGUGUUCUCCAACGUACUUAAACAGAGACUGGAAAAUUAGAAAUAGAAACCAACCUCUCCGUCUUUCUGGGGUUGCAUAAUUUCACAUGUCUUUUUGUCUCUGUGCUUCUGUUUUGUCUCUGUACUUCUGUUUCACUCUUAUUUUAAACAAUACUGGCUAUUUCUUCUUUAGGCUCAAUUUGGAUAUCUGGCAAAGUGUAAUAUCUCCUCAUUCCAGUGAGGACACUGAUUGAUGGAACUUCUAUGUGGGUUACUUCGCAUUCUUAAGAAAAUUUUUAUUGGUGGAGCUUGAGUGUUGUAACUAUACCUGGUCCAAUAAGCUAUUGCCAGAGGGCUAAGAUCACAAACAUGGCUAUUUCUCCACCUUCCAGAAAAGACUGGAAUAAUUCUCAAAGAGUUGUGGAUUUGGCAAGUAACACCCAGGAAUCUGCUAUGCUAUCACUGGCAACAGAAUGGGUAUGAGAGAUGCUAGAUAGUUGAGAAGUAGAAGAUGAGUCUAGCAUCAACAGGCUCAGUGGUUAGCAAAAUUAUAAUGGUAUUGGUGGAACUAGGGAGUUAAUUGGAAGAACUAGAUUGGAAAAAAAAGGUUGAGAAUAAGAUAUUGCUGUUGUAUUAUUAGAGAUACUUUGUGGAUGUAGUUUGAAGAAAAUUGAGACAUUUAUCAUUGGGUGGUGAGGGUUUUUCCCUUGAUGCAUGAGAAAUUUACACGAAUAAGGCUUUCUCUAAAUAAAAUACCCCUCAUAUCAUGAUUCCUCAAUCUAACAGACCAACCCCUUUCCUUUUCUCCAGAAUUUAUGUAUACAAACUAGAUAAACAUUUUUUCAGGCUAUUCCCUUAGGCAUAAUUUCUGAAGUUCACUGAUUGGCAUUUGAAAUUGAACAACAGAUAUUGUUGUGGAUAUUUAAAUAUAAUAUGAAUAGUGUUAAAGCAAUUCUCUGAAAAGGAAAAUGAUAACUUAAUAAACUCAGUACUUAUACUAAUGGUAAGAUUAUGCCUAUGCAUCACACUUCUAAACUUAUGAUGGGCUCGACAAUUCACUCUGAAUUGAGGACAGUUGAACCAUAGUAUGAAACAUAUACUUUUUACUUGAAAACAUUUUUCACUAGUAAUUUAUAGAUAGGUGCCAAAAAUGUUUCACUUGGCAGUCAAACUGUAUAGACUAUGGACAGCUGGACUGAAUGGCUCCUGCUUGCAGUUAUAUGAACUUUAAAUAAUAUUUUUUAUAAGUGUGAUGGCAAUUGACUUUGAGAAAAAGUGAGACAAUAUAUGAUAGGGAAGUACCAAAUAUUACUGUCGCACACUUUUUACUUUUUAUGGGGCUGCUUAACAGUAUGCAGUAUUUAUAUUCAAAAUAAGAGAGCUUCAGUUGUAUUUAUGUUUUAAAACUACCAAGGCAAAAAACAAAUCAAAGAAUUUAUCACAGAAUUCAAUAAUAUGACAAAGUAUAUCAAAAUUUGAGAUAUGAGAAUUAUACACAAUAGCAUGUUUUGUGGGCAGUGAUAGCCCACAGAAAUCUAAUUUAAUCAAAUAUUUAAAGAGGUAAUAAUUAAUUUUUAACGAAUUGAAGUGAACCAUAACUGGGAAGAAAUGUUAUUGUUUAUUUUUAAUGCCAGAAGAGUACUCCUGAUACAAUUUUAAUAUUUCAUUAAGGCAGUAACUUUCAUAUUGUGGGUUUCAGCCCAGGUUUUUAUGUUUGAUGAUAUAUUUUCUCCUCUUGAAAAAAGUUGGAAUUUUAUUGUCUAGCAGUAGUGGAUAAUGGGAAGUGCUCUUUUUCUGUCAAUUCGAUUAUGUUCUAUCCUCACUACAUUGCUAGGGAUUAAUCAAACAAAUUAUGGAAUGUAUAUUGGCUUAUGUUAGAACCAGAACUUAUUAUCAUGCACAGUGCUUUAUAUUUUAUGGAAAUUAUGCAGAAAUAUUUCACUAGAUGCUUUUCUUCAAAAGUUUUCCUAUGCUGGAUAGCUCUUAGAAUAUGUUACAAUGUAUAAGGUCUUUUCAAAUUUGUCUUGCAUUUUUCAUUAAUUUAAAAACAGUGUAUUUUUUAUACUUAGAUUAUUUGUCUCUGAAUUUGGGGAAAGUCAUUUAAAUCUUUCUCACUUCAGUCAUAGUUUAAAGUGUGAAUUACUAAAAUUGAAAGGAUAUAUACACAUUAACAUGGCUGUAAGAACAGUAUUUGGCAGAAGGAUGUAUGGUAAAUGAAUGUUUGAAAAAAAAGCAUUUAAGAUAAAAAAGUAGAAAAAAAAAGAAAAAAGACUCAAGUUUGAUAGAUGAAAGACAAUAUAUGUUCAGUUUUAAUUUGUGAGAUGCAAAAGGUUGUGUACACAGAAUUAUGCUCAUUUUAAAGAUUUAACUUUUUUUUUUUAAUAUUCUACCAUGACUCCAACUUGUGGUUUUUCAUCAGUGAGUAGAACAUUUAUAUUCUGUCAGACUUGAAUAUUUAGUCAUCUGUGACUCUUCUUGCUGCUUUGAAUUCUGUUACCAAUAAAUUGUGAAUCUCCUUAUUUUAUUCAAAGAGAUGUUCUUUUUUCAUAGGGUUUUGGUGGAAUUCUGAGAAUAGUCUUGCCUCAGUAGUGGGGCAUAGUUAGUCCUAGA
rnacentral:lncRNA from 1 species